GUAGGGAAUCUUGCGCAAUGGGCGAAAGCCUGACGCAGCCAUGCCGCGUGAAUGAUGAAGGUCUUAGGAUUGUAAAAUUCUUUCACCGGGGACGAUAAUGACGGUACCCGGAGAAGAAGCCCCGGCUAACUUCGUGCCAGCAGCCGCGGUAAUACGACGGGGGCUAGCGUUGCUCGGAAUUACUGGGCGUAAAGGGAGCGUAGGCGGAUAGUUUAGUCAGAGGUGAAAGCCCAGGGCUCAACCUUGGAAUUGCCUUUGAUACUGGCUAUCUUGAGUAUGGAAGAGGUAUGUGGAACUCCGAGUGUAGAGGUGAAAUUCGUAGAUAUUCGGAAGAACAGCAGUGGCGAAGGCGACAUACUGGUCCAUUACUGACGCUGAGGCUCGAAAGCGUGGGGAGCAAACAGGAUUAGAUACCCGGGUAGUCC
rnacentral:rRNA from 1 species